AUUGAACGCUGGCGGCAGGCCUAACACAUGCAAGUCGCGCGAGCGGCGGACGGGUGAGUAAUGUAUGGGGAUCUGCCUGCUGGAGGGGGAUAACUACUGGAAACGGUAGCUAAUACCGCAUACCAUCAGAUGAUCCCAUAUGGGAUUAGCUUGUAGGUGAGGUAAUGGCUCACCUAGGCGACGAUCCCUAGCUGGUCUGAGGAGAUGCUCAGCCACACUGGGACGGAGACACGGCCCAGACUCCUACGGGAGGCAUCAGUGGGGAAUAUUGGACAAUGGGCGAAAGCCUGAUGCAGCCAUGCCGCGUGUGUGAAGAAGGCCUUCGGGUUGUAAAGUACUUUCAGUCGGGAGGCGUUACCGACAGAAGAAGCACCGGCUAACUCCGUGCCAGCCGCCGCGGUAAUAC
rnacentral:rRNA from 1 species